rnacentral:rRNA from 1 species
GACGAGGGUCCAAGCGUUUGUCCGGAUUUACUGGGCGUAAAGAGCGCGUAGGCGGUCUGUUAAGUGUGAAGUGAAAUCUCUAGGGCUCAACCCAGAAACUGCUUUACAUACUGGCAGACUUGAGUGAUGAAGAGGUUUGUGGAAUUCCUGGUGUAGCGGUGAAAUGCGUUGAUAUCAGGAGGAACACCCAUGGCGAAGGCAGCAAACUGGUCAUCAACUGACGCUGAGGCGCGAAAGCGUGGGUAGCAAACAGG